UGUUUGCCUUGAUGAAUCACAAGGACGGUAUCUGAGAAAGGUUGCUCUUCUAAAAGGCCCCCUUUAUUGAUUACGCAUCCUUAACUGAUCAUAUUUUCUGAGCAAACA